rnacentral:rRNA from 1 species
ACUCUAGAGGGACUGCCGGCGACGAAGUCGGAGGAAGGUGGGGAUGACGUCAAAUCAUCAUGCCCCUUAUGACCUGGGCUACACACGUGCUACAAUGGGCGGUACAAAGGGCUGCGAACCCGCGAGGGGGAGCGAAUCCCAAAAAGCCGCUCUCAGUUCGGAUUGCAGGCUGCAACUCGCCUGCAUGAAGCCGGAAUCGCUAGUAAUCGCGGAUCAGCAUGCCGCGGUGAAUACGUUCCCGGGCCUU